rnacentral:rRNA from 1 species
AGAGUUUGAUCCUGGCUCAGAAUGAACGCUGGCGGCGUGGUUAAGACAUGCAAGUCGAACGGUUUUUCAGAUGUAGCAAUACAUUUGAAAAGCAGUGGCGAACGGGUGCGUAACACGUGAACAAUCUACCUUUUAGUGUGGAAUAGCUCGGUGAAAACCGGAUUAAUACCGCAUGUGGUUGGUUCUCGCAUGAGAGCCAU